UACGAAGGGGGGCUAGCGUUGCUCGGAAUCACUGGGCGUAAAGGGUGCGUAGGCGGGUUCUUAAGUCAGAGGUGAAAUCCUGGAGCUCAACUCCAGAACUGCCUUUGAUACUGAGAGUCUUGAGUACGGGAGAGGUGAGUGGAACUGCGAGUGUAGAGGUGAAAUUCGUAGAUAUUCGCAAGAACACCAGUGGCGAAGGCGGCUCACUGGCCCGGUACUGACGCUGAGGUGCGAAAGCGUGGGGAGCAAACAGGG
rnacentral:rRNA from 1 species